CAUUUCCAGAAUCAUCGGGCGACUUUUUUUUAAUAAGCAUUUUGAAAUCUAAUCGUAAAUCCCCCCAAAAAAAUUAUGGCACUUCAAAUUAUGUAUUACAGAACUGCACUCGAAAUUGUUUUUCGUCAAGCAAUGGUUUAUCAUUGCUUACAGAUAUAAAUGAAAUAACCUUAUGUAACCUAACUUACCAAAUUCUCACCUACAACAGUGGCCGCUCCCAUCCCCAGUAUCGGCUCUUUUUAUAUUUAAUUUUAAAUGAACAAUUGUACAUUAUAAUUUUUAGCUUAUUUUCAAAAUGAUAUUGAAUUGGAGAUCACUUAUUUAUAACAAAAAUCCAUAUAAUUACA